CACGUUGAAACACCGGUUUCCAUACAAUCAUCGAAGUUAAGCAACGUUGAACCUGGUCAGUACUUGGAUUGCUGUCCGCUUGGGAAUACCAGGUGCAGUAU